AUUGAACGCUGGCGGCAUGCCUAACACAUGCAAGUCGAACGAGUGGCGGACGGGUGAGUAAUGUCUGGGAAACUGCCCGAUGGAGGGGGUUAACUAUUGGAACCGGUAGCUAAUACGGCAUACCAUCGGAUUUGCCCAGAUGGGAUUAGCUAGGUGGUGGGGUAACGGCUCACCUAGGCGACGAGCCCUAGCUGGUCUGAGAGGAUGACCAGCCACACUGGAACUGAGACACGGUGCAGACCCCGACGAGAGGCAGCAGUGGGGAAUAUUGCACAAUGGGCGCGAGCCUGAUGCAGCCAUGCCGCGUGUAUGAAGAAGGCCUGCGGGUUGGAAAGUACUUUCAGCGAGGAGGCGUUACUCGCAGAAGAAGCACCGGCUAACUCCGUGCCAGCAGCCGCGGGAAAC
rnacentral:rRNA from 1 species